rnacentral:lncRNA from 1 species
AUCGCUUAUGCCACAACAUAGAUGAUGAUUCACGAAUUAAAGUCCUUUUCUUUGAUACAUUUGUAACACACGAGACAUCACCAAAAGAAGCCAAAGACAAUUUAUAUGAAUCAUCACAUAAAAUGUCAUUCCCAAUCAAACAAGAAUCAUUAAAUAACUUAACCAUUCCAUUACCAAAAUUAAAUGUAAAACCACAAGCAUCAAGUUUUGGUAUAGAAAUUAAAUUC